UGUGAACUCGAAGAGUAGGGCGGGACACGUGGUAUCCUGUCUGAAUAUGGGGGGACCAUCCUCCAAGGCUAAAUACUCCUGACUGACCGAUAGUGAACCAGUACCGUGAGGGAAAGGCGAAAAGAACCCCGGCGAGGGGAGUGAAAAAGAACCUGAAACCGUGUACGUACAAGCAGUAGGAGCCUCUUUAUGGGGUGACUGCGUACCUUUUGUAUAAUGGGUCAGCGACUUAUAUUCUGUAGCAAGGUUAACCGUAUAGGGGAGCCGCAGGGAAACCGAGUCUUAACUGGGCGUUAAGUUGCAGGGUAUAGACCCGAAACCCGGUGAUCUAGCCAUGGGCAGGUUGAAGGUUGGGUAACACUAACUGGAGGACCGAACCGACUAAUGUUGAAAAAUUAGCGGAUGACUUGUGGCUGGGGGUGAAAGGCCAAUCAAACCGGGAGAUAGCUGGUUCUCCCCGAAAGCUAUUUAGGUAGCGCCUCGUGAACUCAUCUUCGGGGGUAGAGCACUGUUUCGGCUAGGGGGUCAUCCCGACUUACCAACCCGAUGCAAACUACGAAUACCGAAGAAUGUUAUCACGGGAGACACACGGCGGGUGCUAACGUCCGUCGUGAAGAGGGAAACAACCCAGACCGCCAGCUAAGGUCCCAAAGUCAUGGUUAAGUGGGAAACGAUGUGGGAAGGCCCAGACAGCCAGGAUGUUGGCUUAGAAGCAGCCAUCAUUUAAAGAAAGCGUAAUAGCUCACUGGUCGAGUCGGCCUGCGCGGAAGAUGUAACGGGGCUAAACCAUGCACCGAAGCUGCGGCAGCGACACUAUGUGUUGUUGGGUAGGGGAGCGUUCUGUAAGCCGUUGAAGGUGGCCUGUGAGGGUUGCUGGAGGUAUCAGAAGUGCGAAUGCUGACAUAAGUAACGAUAAUGCGGGUGAAAAACCCGCACGCCGGAAGACCAAGGGUUCCUGUCCAACGUUAAUCGGGGCAGGGUGAGUCGACCCCUAAGGCGAGGCCGAAAGGCGUAGUCGAUGGGAAACAGGUUAAUAUUCCUGUACUCGGUGUUACUGCGAAGGGGGGACGGAGAAGGCUAUGUUGGCCGGGCGACGGUUGUCCCGGUUUAAGCAUGUAGGCGGAUGUUCCAGGUAAAUCCGGAA
rnacentral:rRNA from 1 species